CGAACACAUCGUCCCCGACGUGACCCUGUUGGAGGUCGUUAGCUCUAUGAACCGCCAUUAACAAGGGAUUAUGGGUAUAAUCCCUGGUUCGUCUCAGGAAUGUAUACAUUAAACUGCUCUGCCAGCCAAUUGCAAGUGGUAAUGGUUGUGUCCAUCUCCUCUGUGAGGCCGCAGAAUGAAAAGAAAAGCAACAACAGCAACGAAACAUGUGUCAGUCAAACCAAUUGUUGCAUCAAAGUGGGUGUGGCCACUCGUGACCGUGAACACUGAUGAGGGACAGGUGUGAACUGAUGAACAAAGAAGUCCAGAAACGACAAACCUUCGAACAAAAGCUGCAGCCUCAGUUGAAUAUCACCGUGGAGUCUGACGGUCAGCCCCAUAAAAGACUGCAGACAUAAGAACUAAUGGCUCCCAUAUGGGCAGCUCCUUUGUGGAAGCAUCUGUCGGCCGAGCCUGGAGGGUUCAGACGUUCACAGACCUGGACAGUGUCACUUUACCUGCCUCUGUUUCAGCUUGCGCCUCCCGAUGUAUCCCUGCAGACAGGAGCAGACGUUGUUCCUCAUACAUAUGCCACCAUUUUUACAGGGAGGACUGCAGACGGCUGGAGGAGGAAACAAAAUAAACCAUGAGGACACUCGCAGAUGUUGGGCCGGACGCACAAACCUCCGUUCAGGCAAACCGGAGAGCAGAGAGCUGGAGGAGAGAGAG